AGAGUUUGAUCCUGGCUCAGGAUGAACGCUAGCUACAGGCUUAACACAUGCAAGUCGAGGGGCAGCAUGAACUUAGCUUGCUAAGUUUGAUGGCGACCGGCGCACGGGUGAGUAACACGUAUCCAACCUGCCGAUGACUCGGGGAUAGCCUUUCGAAAGAAAGAUUAAUACCCGAUGGCAUAGUUCUUCCGCAUGGUGGAACUAUUAAAGAAUUUCGGUCAUCGAUGGGGAUGCGUUCCAUUAGGUUGUUGGCGGGGUAACGGCCCACCAAGCCUUCGAUGGAUAGGGGUUCUGAGAGGAAGGUCCCCCACAUUGGAACUGAGACACGGUCCAAACUCCUACGGGAGGCAGCAGUGAGGAAUAUUGGUCAAUGGACGAGAGUCUGAACCAGCCAAGUAGCGUGAAGGAUGACUGCCCUAUGGGUUGUAAACUUCUUUUAUACGGGAAUAAAGUGAGGCACGUGUGCCUUUUUGUAUGUACCGUAUGAAUAAGGAUCGGCUAACUCCGUGCCAGCAGCCGCGGUAAUACGGAGGAUCCGAGCGUUAUCCGGAUUUAUUGGGUUUAAAGGGAGCGUAGGCGGACGCUUAAGUCAGUUGUGAAAGUUUGCGGCUCAACCGUAAAAUUGCAGUUGAUACUGGGUGUCUUGAGUACAGUAGAGGCAGGCGGAAUUCGUGGUGUAGCGGUGAAAUGCUUAGAUAUCACGAAGAACUCCGAUUGCGAAGGCAGCCUGCUGGACUGUAACUGACGCUGAUGCUCGAAAGUGUGGGUAUCAAACAGGAUUAGAUACCCUGGUAGUCCACACAGUAAACGAUGAAUACUCGCUGUUUGCGAUAUACAGUAAGCGGCCAAGCGAAAGCGUUAAGUAUUCCACCUGGGGAGUACGCCGGCAACGGUGAAACUCAAAGGAAUUGACGGGGGCCCGCACAAGCGGAGGAACAUGUGGUUUAA
rnacentral:rRNA from 1 species